AAUCAGAUAUGCAUUUGUCUCAGGUGAGCAGAGGGAGGACUUUCUGUCCUGCACCUGUGAAGAGAAUUUCCCUAGGUCAAAUGGCACCCAGAAACUGCCUCCUCUACCUUGAAAGCUACACUGUCUUAACCUUGACCAAUGGCUGACUGAUGUGGGAAUCCAAAAGUCCUCCUCCUUGUCUCAAGGAUGCCUGCGAGGCCCCUGUCUCCAUUCACUCACUUAUUCCCAGGGACUUAGAAGUCUUCUCCAUGCACAGAUUGUGCUCAGCACAGGAAGCACAGUGGAGAACUGAGCAGGCUGACUGGUCUGUGUUCCUGGUCUGCUGGGACCCAGAGACAAAGAAACGGACAAUGACCACAAGCGUUGGCAACGAUACUGCCUUCUUGAUGCUGCCUUCAGCUUAUUGGUGAAUAAGGAAGAACUGAAAGAAAGGAACUAUGGCUUUUCCUGUCUUUCCCUAUCUUUCUAUGCCAUUACUUUUGGCAUAAGUGCCUGAUUAAUAUAGGAAAUAAAAUAAGUAGGAAAAGGUAUGACUAGGGUCAUUAGUCUGUGGUGUUAUUCACAAGGUCAUUGCCUUCUUUCUGCGUUUGAAGCAAGACCUCACAUGGUAAGUGUGGCCUCCCUGCAGACUCAGUUAUAGACAUACACGAUGACCUGUUACUGGCCUGGAGUUCCGCUAACCUGCGCAUCCUAGGGGCACUGGAAUAUUGCGCUCACAGCAUCAUCAACUCCUCUCCUCUGCUUUGUGCUCCUGCUGUGUAGUCCUUCCAAAACACAAGUUCAAAGGUAAAUAGUAUUAAGACUCAAGGCAGACCUGGCCAAGCAUUAAGCCCAGCACAGAGCCCUUCUGAGUGCAGGGCCCCCCAUGACUGCGCAGAUUGUACCUCCGUGAAGCCAGCAGUUCUCUAGUCUUAACUGCAAUCCACAGGGAAUUCAAGGUUAGAGGAGCAUGUUAAAUGACACCACAAGGACACAGUCCGCAAAUCCAGGGCAUGGGGCGAUGCAGAGUCAAUGACCUGACUGCUCCAACAAGCCAGUGGGGGAACAGGAGAGAGAAAAGGCUGAAACAGACUCAACGAAAUGAAACGCGAACUUGUUUGGCUCCUGAUUGAAAUAAACCAACGCUGAAAACACAUUUCUGGACAAUUAGGGAAAUUUGGAUGUUAACUUGUAUUUGAUGCUAUAAAGGAAGUCUUAUGAAUUUAGUUAGUAGUAAAGGAUAAUCAUAUAUAUAGUGGUUAUGCGGGAAUAGACCUGAUCUAUGAAAGAUGCAGGCCACGGUGUUUAUAGAUCAAAUGACGAGAUGUUUGAGGUUUAAUGUAUUUAGAACAAAUGGGGCGGGGGGUAAUAGUUGACAUAAGAUUGGCAAGAUACUGAACAUUUUUAAAUCUGAGAGGUUCAUCAUUUUAUUCUCUAUACUUUUGUAAAGUUUUUAAAAUGUUUUUUGUAAUGGAAAGAAGGAAAAUGUAUGUGUGUGUAUUUUUUAAUAUAUAUAUAUAAUUGUUAACAUGCAUUCUAUAAACAGUUAUUUUCUUUGUAGUAAAUUCUGUUUUCAACACCGAAUUAUUACUUUCUUUUCUUUGCAACAAAUUACUAAACAGUUAAUGAAAACAUUUGAAUUCUAUGAUUUAUGCAUAGGAAUGUUGGCAUGAAAGUCAUUUUCUCCAACUUUGUGUUCUUUUCUUAGAGCAAUAUGGAAAAUUUCCCAGCACAUAAGACAUUUUAAUGUUCUUUCCUAAAGAUGUAACUCUAUACGUGUAAGUGGCUAAUUAUUCAAGUUUUUAUUUAGUAACAAACUCAAGACAAAUCCUAUUUUUAUUGAAAAUUCUAUUACUAAAAUUGUUUGUGAUAAAUUAAUUCAUC
rnacentral:lncRNA from 10 species